CUGACGGGUUGUUUCCAGAUUCUAAUAGGUUUCGGGUUUGGGCUUUUUGAAUCGGGUUUGUUGCUAUAUAAAAACAUGUUGGUGCACGAAAAAAGAUCUAUCUUCAUCAGAAUACCAAACCCUAGCAGCCCCUACCCUCCUCUCUAAAACCCUAGCUUUAAAUCUUGUGUUUUUGGGAGAGUUCGUGAGGCGAACAUCGAAGGAAAUGUGAGAUCUGUGGUGUUUGGCGGUAAGCGGUCGUUUCAUAUCAUCUUCAAAGGCUUGCACACGUCUUUAAGGUAACGAGCCAGGUGCACAGAGAGCCGUAGGUUGAUGGAUUUGCUCUAGCAGUUAUUCAUAGAUAUUAUUAGUAUAUGUUUGAACUCCACAAUAAAUUUUGUUUAUGAACAAUUGAGAGUUUAUUCUAGUUUUUGUAAAGGCGAGGUUCCUAAAUGUUAUUUCUCCCUAUGUCGAGACAUUUGUAUUCAGCUCAGAUAUUGUUUCUUCUUAGAGAUUUAUUUACUCAUAUCAGUGAUGACUAUUUUCUUCA